AUGCGAUACGUAAUGUGAAUUGCAGAAUUCAGUGAAUCAUCGAAUCUUUGAACGCACAUUGCGCCCGCCAGUAUUCUGGCGGGCAUGCCUGUCCGAGCGUCAUUUCAACCCAUCAAGCCUAGCGCUUGUGUUGGAGCCCUGCGGCCGCCGCAGCCUCCUAAAAUCAGUGGCGGGCUCGCUAUCACGCUGAGUGCAGUAGUAUUCUUCUCACUCCUGUGGUAUAGCGGGUAACCAGCCGUAAAACCCCCCCAUAUCCAAAGGUUGACCUCGGAUCAGGUAGGAAUACCCGCUGAACUUAA
rnacentral:misc_RNA from 1 species